AUACGGAGGGUGCAAGCGUUGUUCGGAAUUACUGGGCGUAAAGCGCGUGCAGGCGGUUUGGUAAGUCAGAUGUGAAAGCCCUGGGCUCAACCCGGGAAGUGCAUUUGAAACUGCCUUUCUUGAGUAUGGGAGAGGAGAGUGGAAUUCCCAGUGUAGAGGUGAAAUUCGUAGAUAUUGGGAGGAACACCCGUGGCGAAGGCGACUCUCUGGACCAAUACUGACGCUGAGACGCGAAAGCGUGGGGAGCAAACAGGAUUAGAAACCCGAGUAGUCC
rnacentral:rRNA from 1 species